rnacentral:rRNA from 1 species
AUUGAACGCUGGCGGCAGGCUUAACACAUGCAAGUCGAGCGAGCGGCGGACGGGUGAGUAAUGUCUGGGAAACUGCCUGAUUGAGGGGGAUAACUACUGGAAACGGUAGCUAAUACCGCAUACCAUCAGAUGUGCCCAGAUGGGAUGAGCUAGUAGGUGGGGUACUGGCUCACCUAGGCGGCGAACCCUAGCUGGUCUGAGAGGAUGACCAGCCACACUGGAACUGGGGCGCGGUCCCGACUCCUACGGGAGGCAGCAGUGGGGAAUAUUGCACCAUGGGCGCAAGCCUUAUGCAGCCAUGCCGGGUGUGUGAAGAAGGCCUUCGGGUUGUAAAGCACUGUCAGCGAGGAGGCGUUACUCGCAGAAGAAGCACCGGCUAACUCCGUGCCAGCAGCCGCGGUAAUUC